rnacentral:rRNA from 1 species
CCUACUGGUGGCAGCAGUGGGGAAUAUUGCACAAUGGGGGGAACCCUGAUGCAGCGACGCCGCGUGAGUGAAGAAGUCAUUCGUGAUGUAAAGCUCUAUCAGCAGGGAAGAAAAUGACGGUACCUGUCUAAUAAGCCCCGUCUAACUACGUGCCAGCAGCCGCGGUAAUACGUAGGGGGCAAGCGUUAUCCGGAUUUACUGGGGGUAAAGGGAGCGUAGACGGCAGCGCAAGUGCGAAGUGAAAGCCCGGGGCGCAACCCCGGGACUGCUUUGGAAACUGUGAAGCUGGGGUGCGGGGGGGGGAGGCGGGAUUGCGGGGGGAGCGGUGAAAUGCGUAGAUAACAGGAGGAACACCGGCGGCGGAGG